UACGUAGGUGGCAAGCGUUGUCCGGAAUUACUGGGUGUAAAGGGCGUGUAGGCGGGAUUUAAGUCAGAUGUGAAAUUCCGGAGCUCAACUCCGGCGCUGCAUCUGAAACUAAAUUUCUUGAGUGCUGGAGAGGAAAGCGGAAUUCCUAGUGUAGCGGUGAAAUGCGUAGAGAUUAGGAGGAACACCAGUGGCGAAGGCGGCUUUCUGGACAGUAACUGACGCUGAGGCGCGAAAGCGUGGGGAGCAAACAGGAUUAGAUACCCGGGUAGGUCCCU
rnacentral:rRNA from 1 species